rnacentral:rRNA from 1 species
CCUACGGGUGGCAGCAGUGAGGAAUAUUGGUCAAUGGACGAGAGUCUGAACCAGCCAAGUAGCGUGAAGGAUGACUGCCCUAUGGGUUGUAAACUUCUUUUAUAAAGGAAUAAAACGAGGCACGUGUGCCUUUUUGCAUGUACUUUAUGAAUAAGGAUCGGCUAACUCCGUGCCAGCAGCCGCGGUAAUACGGAGGAUCCGAGCGUUAUCCGGAUUUAUUGGGUUUAAAGGGAGCGUAGAUGGGUUGUUAAGUCAGUUGUGAAAGUUUGCGGCUCAACCGUAAAAUUGCAAUUGAUACUGGCAGUCGUGAGUACAGUUGAGGUAGGCGGAAUUCGUGGUGUAGCGGUGAAAUGCUUAGAGAUCACGAAGAACCCCGAUUGCGAAGGCAGCUUACUAAACUGUGACUGACAUUGAUGCUCGAAAGUGUGGGUAUCAAACAGGAGUAGAUACCCUAGUAGUC